ACCAUGUAUGAUAUUGAUGGGAAUGGCACCAUAGAAAAGGACGAAAUGGUGGAAAUUAUUGGAGCAAUCUACAAUAUGCUGGGAAGUGCACUGUGCGGGCAGGGCGAGGACACGCCCGAAAAAAGGACUGAAAAAAUCUUUGAGAAAAUGGAUUCCAAUGGUGAUGGACAUUUAACGAAACAGGAGUUCAUCGAGGGCUGUAUGAAGGACCAAGUCCUGUAUCAAAUGCUUACGGCGGAUGCGGCUACCAACCAAUAAUGGUACCCAACAGACUAUUCCAUUUCAUUUACUCGUCAAGAUUCACCAAGAAAUAAUAAAAAAUAAUCGUCUGCUGUACUGUAAGAGUGGCGUUGUGGCAUCGUGAUCCGUUAGAACAAAGAAUCUGUUUUCAUGUGAUUGAUAUCGCUAAUAUUCUGAACACGCAAAAAGACUGGGGCAAUUUAUCUUGAGAAAAUUGCCUACAUUAAAUUGAUGGUUGAUUAUGAGUCUUUUUACUGUGUCAAUGUUUUUUGUAGUUGACAUUUGUGGGCAUUAAAAUAAUAGUAAAUAAAAAGGGCUAGGAAAACGUUUCUGUAAAUCUGAAAUAUCUUAGAUUCCAAAAGUUUUAUUCAGAGACGACUGAAUGUAUAUUGGUGACCAUCUUAAUGUACUUUGUCUAUAUUUUUCUCCAUUCCCAAUCAUACUAAUGUUCAAUAGAAAUGAGGUUGUAUAAGUUAUCUUUCUUUAUACAGAAGUAGAAUGUAUGUUAUGUAUAUCUGAAUUUGUAUCAACAAUAACUUUUCCUUUACAUAUUAUGAACCCGUAUCAGGAAUCUAAAUUGGGAUUUGUCUACGCACUUUGGAAAACACAGAAGGCGUUUUGUUUGUAAUAUUGAUAACAUAUGUCAAGUCUUGGGUUCAAUGUUUUGGGGUCCUUUUUUGCCUAAAAACAUCUGCAUGUAUAUAAUUCAUAUUUAUACCCAGCAUAAUCAGGAUUUUUUAUUUUUUCAUAUACUCAUGUUACCUAGCUUGUUGACAAACAAGACAAUUACUUAUGUACAUUGUUUUUACAGGGGAAAAAUCCAUUUCUUUAUGUCCCAACUUGUGCACCUUAACAUGUAGAGAAUUAAACAUUUCACACAACAGUGUGUGUGCAAGAGACAUGCAUUCACUUCAUUUUAUUCAGUUGUUAAUAUUUUGAUUUGCAUGUGCUUGUCGCAUAAUAUCUUUGAGAUUCAAGUAUUCUACAAAUAAAUGAAGCUCUUUUGCUUAAUCAUUAAUGUGAAUUUAGGAACUGGCCAUUGUUAGAAAGUUCAGUGUAAGUCGCCUGUCUAGCACAGUGUUAGCUAUACCUUUAUUAGUAUCACUCCAUCAAUUUCCAACGAAGAAAAAGGGUCACAGAGCAUAAAUUUUUGCAUUUGCAAAAUAUAGACACAUGCAUCAAUAGAUUAUCAAGAACUUGUGUACUUUUAAGCAACAAAGGUUGUACCCUGGUAGUAUUUUUAAAGGCAAAAAAUACUAAGGCAUCUGAUUAGUAUAGCUGAAUCUCUUUAGAUGACUUUGCAUGAUGUUAAAUUUUAAUAAAUGGCUCUAUAAUAAUUUAGAAACGAUUUUUUGAUAGUUGAAUAUGCUUGAUGAGUGUGAAAAUUAUGGCAAUGUAAUGUAAUAGUGCAACACAAGAAAUGAUACUGGCAUAUUAAAUAAUAAGUGCAAUGUUUGUUUAAACUAUAUCAGUAGUUUUUGGUCCUAGAAUAUUAUGGAAAAAUUCCUGUUUUAAUGGUUUUAUUGUUUUAUUUAGAAUUUACACUACAAUAUAAUGUCCGUGUUCAUUUUAUUACUGCAUCUGUGUUCAAUAUUUUCUGGAAGUCAAAUCAUGUUCUCCUCUCUUGUAUAUGUGUAUCAUGUAUAUGUUCUAUUAUAUUUGUUAUUUUUUAUUUUAAUUCUAUGCCUAUAUUUUACACUCAACUUUAUUGCUGGACAAUAUGCUGAUAUAAUAUAUGUAAUGUGUGCAAAACAUUAUCAUGAAGUAAAUACACGUGUACCUGUGAAUAAAAGAAAGAAGUUG
rnacentral:misc_RNA from 1 species